AGUCCUGACAACAAGCCAGGUCUCUGGUUACUCUUUCCCACAUGCCUCAGUUUCCAGCCUCAUGUCAUUAAUCCAGUGCUAAAUCAGGAAAAGGCUGAGGUAGAGUUGGGAAGGCUCUUGGUGCUACAUGUGUUCCCUGAAGUCCAUCCUCUUGCCAAAAGGAAGAAUGAGACUCGCAUUAAGAUAUCUUACCUUGUUGAACCUAGUUAUUACCACUCCCUGUGACCCAGUAAGACACAAAAGGAAGGAUAUGCGAGUUCCAAAUCUUACUUCAGCAGCUGAUGCAUUUUCGAUUGUGAGCAAAUGUGAGAGCUGCACAGAGCAGAAGGCUUAGGAAAGCAUCUAUUUGCCAUCUUCUCCCGGGGAGCUAACUGCUGUCCUGCAGCCCAUGGGGCAUCCUCCCUUUCCAGCUACCAAAGCUCAGACUGAGGAGAUGGACACAAGCUGCAUUCCCUCUAUUCCUGACCUGCCUGGAUAAAUGGAGAGAGUGUGAAAAUGAAAGCCAUAUUGUGCCAAACCUGAAAUGCAGAUGGGUCUUUUAUCAGUGCACUUCCAAGGAAAAGAGUUGGAAUGUAUGGCUUAGGUGAGCUAGAAAGCCACAAUGCAGGUACCCAGCAACUUGGGAAACCGUAGCAAGGGACAGAAAAGAGAUCAGUCUGUGUUGUAUAACCAUCUCUCUGUAAUAUUAAAGAUAUCCAUUUUAUCUAGCAAAGGCCAAGACAUUUUUCUUAUUCUUUCAAAAUAUUGAGUGAAUUCACAAAUUACUUUCAAGAACCCAUUUGUAUUCAUUUUCUUUUUC